CGCUUAACACAUGCAAGUCGAACGGUAACAGAAGUCAGCUUGCUGACUUGCUGACGAGUGGCGGACGGGUGAGUAAUACAUAGGAACCUUCCCUUAAGUGAGGGAUAACCCGAGGAAACUCGGGCUAAUACCACUAAAGCUCAUUGAGAAAAGCCGGGGACCUUCGGGCCUGGCGCUUUAGGAUGGGCCUAUGUCGGAUUAGCUAGUUGGUAGGGUAAUGGCCUACCAAGGCGACGAUCCGUAGCUGGUCUGAGAGGACGACCAGCCACACUGGGACUGAGACACGGCCCAGACUCCUACGGGAGGCAGCAGUGGGGAAUCUUGGACAAUGGGGGCAACCCUGAUCCAGCGAUGCCGCGUGUGUGAAGAAGGCCUGCGGGUUGUAAAGCAC
rnacentral:rRNA from 1 species